rnacentral:tRNA from 1 species
GUGAUGAUGGCUCAGCAGUUAAGAGCACUGGCUGUUCCUCCAGAGGACCUGAGUUCAAAUCCCUGCAUUCACA